rnacentral:misc_RNA from 1 species
GCAAUUGGCGCCUUCUAGGCGUUAGACCACGCGCGUAAAAGUGCGGUGUGGUGAGGCAACUCCCACUUUAGGUCGUAGCUACACCCGUGUUUACCACCUUUGUUGCUUUGGCGGGCCGCCUUCGGGCUCGGCUCCGGCUGAUCGUGCCCGCCAGAGGACCCAAACUCUUUUGUUACAGUGAUGUCUGAGUACUAUAUAAUAGUUA